rnacentral:antisense_RNA from 1 species
GAGACAAUUUAGAAACAAUCGGAAUAUCUGAUUGAUGUUUAAAUUUGUUCAAAUAGUGUCUUCCUUUUUCGGUCAUUCCUAAGAGCCGCAGAUAACUUGCUUUUGGUUGCUUCAUAUCAGAUUUUUUUGCAUUUGUUAAAAUAUGGACACAUGUUCUUUGCAGUCUUGUCCACGUAUACCUCUUUGUUUUUAUUUUUUUCAUAAAGUCUUUAAAGCUAUCUGCAUAGAGAGCAUAGGAAAUCAAUCGAUUUUCAAGGCCUUCUUCCACUUCAUAAAUAGCUUUCAACUCUUCUUGAUUUGUUUGCAGAAGUUUAUAGCGAAG